rnacentral:lncRNA from 1 species
GGUAAACACCAGGCCCCAGGUGGAUACCCAAUCCCCAGGUGGACAUCAGAGACCAGGCUGACACAAAAAAUUCCCAGUGGGUAUCAUGUCCCAGUGGAUGUCCAGGCUCCAGGUAAACACCCCAGCCCCUCUGUAACCGUAACCACCGUAACGAGAAAUGGUAGGUCUAAGUACCAUCAUGCUCCUUGCUCACAAAAGGAUGCAUAGAUAUUUUAUUCAAAACACAACUCCAUUCAUCACUCUGAGCAGCGAUGUGUAGAAAGGAAAAGAAAAAUAAACCAGGCCUCAAGGAUUCCAUCCAAAAUGAGGUAGACAUUAUAAGGGACAGAAAUCCCCAAAUUAAAUGUUAUAGUUGACAUAGAAUAGUCUUUAAAACCCAUUGAUUUUCUCACACAUUUGAUCCAAGGCAUUAUUUCCAGAGACUGAACCUAGAAAGAAUUGCUUAAGACUAGGAGUCUUGUUCCAGCCUAGAUCCCACACUGUUGAACAUCUAUACUUAGUAUACCACAUUAUACAUAGCACUGACAUGACCUGUGUGCAUUUAAUUUUCUAAUGCUUGUUCAUCUCUGGCAUAUAUAUAUAUAUAUAUAUAUAUAUAUAUGACCUAUGUAACAUACAUACAUACAAGUACACACACACACAAAAAGUAUAUAAGGGUAGGAUAG